GGCGCUGUCGUCUUCUGUCAGGGUAGAACCGACGUAUUUUUUUCCCGUUAGGUUAGUUACUGCAUGUGAAAAACUUCACUGACACCCAGGUUUCGGUUUGCUACAGUGGUGAUUAGAGGUCUCUUAGAGACUGGCACACUAGGCAGCCACCUGGUUGGCCUCCCCUUCAUUCAGUCAGCUCUGCCAUUCAGCUUUCUUCCAGCCUCUGCACAUUACCUGUCCUAGUUCUUGUUUUAUUGUACUGCCACUCAACUUUUCUGAAUCUCCCACUUGGCUGUGUCUCUGUACCUGCUAAAUCAACACAGUUCCUGGCAUACAGGUGCAUUUCAGUGCAUGCUGGUGAGACAGCGAAGGGCUUGAAACAGUCCACAAAAGUUGAUGCAGGAGAGCAGUACAAUCCUUUCUGGAGUGGGACUCAGAGAAAGAUCAUGCAUGUUGAAGUCAUUCCAGCAGCAGUCCAGGGGAGUUGGGGCAGGUAAGAUGGGAUAAGUGCACUCCAACCAUCAUUUCUGUUGGUCAUAACUCCAGGAGAGAAAGUUUAGAACAGCUAUUUGAGGACGGUGAAAAGAAAACAGCAGAAGGAAUAUUGGUGAAGAACACAGAAUUUGAAGUACAUCAAACCAGUAGGCUCACUUCCAAGCCAUACAUGUUUGGAUCUGGUUUUAAUGAGGAUACCAAGACCUUUGAGAACUGAAGUAAUAGAGAGGUCAUCACCUGGUUCCUAGACUGGCUUCUGGGUGGUGCACACCUGAAAUGGAGACAAAAAGCAGUUUGAAAACUGAGUGGAUGUUGACAUCACAGCGCACAGAAGGUAAAUGCAGAGAUUUCAGACUACAAAGUGACCUUCAUAGGCCAAUGGUGUUUCUGGAAACCUGUGAGCAGAAAAAGGACUUCCACUCUGAGGGGUGGCAGCAUAGUCACUUGGCUGGGGCAACUGGUCUCUUUGGCAAUAACUGCUUAUCAGAGAGGUUCCCAUGGCAUCCAGGCCCUGCAGGAUGCUGUUGAGACCCUGUCAGGUGAGAACAAAAUGGCAGUAGUGUGGCCCAGGCUCCCAUACUGAGGACGGAAGGCACCAGAAGACAGUAGACACUGGUCCAAAACCUAGAGGUGUGCACAGCAGAUGGAAAACUACUUUCUGCCAGCAGAGGUGACAUUUUCAGGGGGCUUCAUGGCUUUAGUGAGAGAGAACCAAGGAACUGGAAAGGAUGGACACUGUGGGUGGCCACACACACAAACCUCGGCGACUGGCAAAAUCAUCUGAGGAGAAUUGAAUUGUUUCCUUGGCAAACGAAGUGGUUGAAGAACUAUUUUUAUGGCUGUUCUUAUGAUUCUGUGUUUCACUGUAGACUGGCACAGCCUAGAGAACAUGCGCUAUGGUUGUUAUAAGGACAAUCUACAAAUAUUACAAGUAAU
rnacentral:lncRNA from 1 species